ACCAGCCGCGGCUCUGCAUGCCCGGGGAAGCAGCCUGAAAACACUACCGGAUGUUUUUGUUGUCAGAAAAUGCUUCGGUGUAUGAAUAAAGAAGGCUGUUGAAUUUGUGGAGCCGUGGAUGUGUUAUGGCACCUUUACAACCCCAUCGGAGAGGGUCGCUAUUCAGCAUUAGAGCAGGGAGGACAAAGAGGAUUUUUCCCAUCUGUCUGGCAAGUAAAUUUUGAGGGAAGAUAAGGUGUGGGGGUGUGCUGCUGGAAAGAUCCCAGUAGGGUGUAUGUGGAGGCCACAGGGAACAUCUGUCGGAGAUAAUAGUAGAUACAAAGGAUUGUUGUAAACAUGAGAAGCAAGAAAUGUUGAGACAGCGUCUGGCACCAGCGGCAAACGGCCAUCAUUCUGCAUAGCAACGAUGAUGUCAAUGGACCCUGGACCAAUCAGACGAAGACGAUUCCACACUUCCUCUUUUAAACAUUGUAUAAGUCUGGGGCAGGAACAGAUAGUUUUGUUCAGUCUACACGAUCUCUGCUAAGGCGAAGAUAGGGGUAGCUGC